rnacentral:rRNA from 1 species
GUGUCAGCAGCCGCGGUAAGACGAACCGAGCGAACGUUGUUCGGAAUCACUGGUCUUAAAGGGCGCGUAGGCGGGUGUAAAAGUCUGCGGUGAAAUCCUGCAGCUUAACUGUAGAAGUGCCUCUGAUACUGUUCGUCUGGAGGGAGAUAGGGGUGUGCGGAACUUCCAGUGGAGCGGUGAAAUGCGUUGAUAUUGGAAGGAACGCCGGAGGCGAAAGCGGCGCACUGGAUCUCUACUGACGCUGAGGCGCGAAAGCCAGGGGAGCAAACGGGAUUAGAUACCCUGGUAGUCC